GCGGAUGUGGUGGAAUUGGUAGACACGCCAGGUUUAGGUCCUGGUGCCUCCGGGCUUGCGAGUUCGAGUCUCGCCAUCCGCA
rnacentral:tRNA from 1 species